UUCAGAUUAUUAACAAAAAUGUUAAAUAAUACUGGACCCAGGACAGACCCCUAGCCAUCUCCACUUGAUACCUCCUCUACCAGACAAGAUCUGUCCUACAGUCUGUAGAGGGCAUGGUCUGUUGAGAGCCCUCUUUCUUCUCCCAGCUGAAAAUGACAAGCACUGUCCUUAUUCUUCCAUCCCUUCAAAAGAACAGUUGAGAUUGCAUUUCCCGUGCAUUCUGCGCUGUGUGUCUAUACACGGUCAUACCCAGGUUUAGGUAUUUCCACUUGUUGAUUUUGUUAAAAUUACACUUGGCUGAAAAACAUCAGUUUUUCAGCUCACCCUAAUAGCAGCUAUUCCUAAUUAAAUUGUUACAAAAAGCAUGUUCAUGUCAUUCAUUCAAUUAAUUUUCUUCUAUACUUUGGUCUCAGAAUGGGAACACAGUGCUUUUCUGACCAGUUGCAUCAUAGGUGGACACCUCUGAGGCCCAGGGUCUCUCCACUUCCACCUCCGCGACUUCUAUUAGUGAGGUUUUUCUCUCUUUCUGUUGAUGAAUUCUGAGACAUGCUAAUAGUAGCCUGCGAGUCCAAUCCGGGGCCCCUAAACAAUCUGUCUUAAUCCCCUGUGCAUGGCCAAGCUUAAUAAGAUCAUAAAUCCAGGGGAGCUGUACCUUCCUUUAAAACAUCAGCAUGACAUUUGAUUUAUUAGCACCAAGCUGGUUAGUUACUGAGUAGUAUCAAUUGAGAAUGGUGAGCUACCAGAUGGCAACAGAGACAUAUAUCACACGGAGAGCAAUUCCUGUAUUGGCAUUUCAGCAGUGCCUCGUUAGGGUGAGCUCUGCACAGAUUUUAAGAGUAGCUGUUACUAUGGUGAAGUUUUAAUACCAUUACUAAUCAUCCUGAUUCUACGGCACCCUAUCUUGUUCACCAGCUGGGGUUAGUUGCCUGAGCCCAAAAAGCCAUGUUUUUGUUAGUAAAGUGCUAGAAGAGCUGCUGCUUCUUCCAGCAGUAUCUGUUCUGUGUCAUGCUCGUCAUCCCAGUGCUUGAUGGCUUGUCUCGCCUCGUUCAAAACUAUCUAUGUGUAUGAAUGUCAACACAUCUGGAACACCAUAUUCUUAUUAACCAGAGUCAGGAUUACAGUGCUUCUUCAGACAACAGUCUGGAAAUGGCACUGUCCUGCUAAAAACCUGAUGAAUUAUGGGAUACUAGGAAAGAAUACCUGAGAAUUUGAUCACCAAUUCAGUAGAUUUUGUUAGAUAUCCUAUAAUGGAUUGAGUAAUUGCAGCUUGCAUGGAGCCUAGUGGCAGAUCGUUACAUCAUGGUAUGCAGAGCUGUGUGGAUAAGAAACAAGUACAUGCCUAAUGGUUAUUGUGGCAGGUUGGACUUGGGAGACGUGGGUUCAGUUCUUUGCUAUGUCAAGCUUACACAACCUAGAAAGUCAGUUACAGUAUUUAGGAGGCUAUGUCAUUGAGUAAAUAUUUAUGUGCACAUCUUUUCUCUGGGCAUUUUCACAUCCUGACCCAUCAAUUGGAUACUUUUUGCUUUGGCUGCCCAGCCCUUCUCCUUUCUCUCCUGUCUCCCCCACCCCCCUCACUGACAAGUAAAGGUUGUUCUUUGCUUCUGUGCUCUUCAGUUCCUCUGUCACCUAGCCAUGAGCGUUUAGUAUCAGUGUGCUUAGUGGGCCUCAAUAUUAUUCAAAGCCUUUAUUCUGGUUUCUUUAAUCUAUUCCAGAGUUGUUCGGCCGGCAGCCCGUGGGCUGCAUGCAGCCCACACGGGGUUACAUGCUGGCCCCCAGGCUCUCGCCCAGCCACUACUUGCCCUGGCUGUUUCUGUAGCUGAGGUCUUUAGGCUCCCCCUUCCUCCAGCUUUCCCUUACCUAUCUUGGGGGCAGGGCAGUACAGUGUGGCACUGCCUGCAAUUCUGGGGAAGAUGAGCCUAGGGCAUCUGAGAGAGGCAGUUCAGUGGAGGAGUUGAGCGUGAGGUGUGGCACCUGGGUGUGUAAUGCAGUGCAGUGGGGGGCAGGAGCCACGAGGCAUGUGCACAGCAGGGGGAGAUCUAGGGCAUGUGUAUAGCAGGAGAACAUACUAAGCAGCAGGGGG